GAUGAACGCUGGCGGCGUGCCUAAUACAUGCGAGUAGAACGCUGAAGGAAGGAGCUUGCUCUUUCCGGAUGAGUUGCGAACGGGUGAGUAACGCGUAGGUAACCUGCCUGGUAGCGGGGGAUAACUAUUGGAAACGAUAGCUAAUACCGCAUAACAGUAGAUGUUGCAUGAUAUCUACUUAAAAGGUGCAAUUGCGCCACUACCAGAUGGACCUGCGUUGUAUUAGCUAGUUGGUGAGGUAACGGCUCACCAAGGCGACGAUACAUAGCCGACCUGAGAGGGUGAUCGGCCACACUGGGACUGAGACACGGCCCAGACUCCUACGGGAGGCAGCAGUAGGGAAUCUUCGGCAAUGGACGGAAGUCUGGCCGAGCAACGCCGCGUGAGUGAAGAAGGUUUUCGGAUCGUAAAGCUCUGUUGUAAGAGAAGAACGAGUGUGAGAGUGGAAAGUUCACACUGUGACGGUAUCUUACCAGAAAGGGACGGCUAACUACGUG
rnacentral:rRNA from 1 species